AUGUUUCCUCCUCUGGUCCAGUUCUCCUGGAAAAGACAGAAGAAGAACGGCGGAGAAGCGGAGGAGCUGCCCCCUGCUGAGGGAGAGCAGCUGGAGCUCAGAGAGGCGGGACGCACCAUUGCCAUCAGGAUGGUUGAUGGGAGCCAUUCUGACACAUAUAAAUACAGCUGCUGGGUGAAGCACGAGGGGGGCACAGUGGAGGCCCGAACACAACAAGAGCUUCCAGCUCCAGCAGCCUCCUGUCCUCCAGAGAGAGAGCCAGCAGACCUGCCAGCUCUGCAGCCAGCUGACUGUAAGAUCACCUGCUGCCUCUCUGCAUGGACAGCUCCAAUGUCCAAUGAGGCAGCUGGAACAAGUUUAGGCUCUUAAAGUUGCACUAAUUGAUCAAAUCUUCAUCCAACAAGCUCUGAUAAAGCCACUGUACACUAGCUGCUCAGCACCAAACAGCAGACAGACCAUAAUAUGUCAGAGAUCAGUUUGUUAGCUGCUUGUGGAGUUCUUCUGCCCCCAAGUGGACACAAACACUACAUCAAUUCAUCCACUUGAAGAAGAAGCUGUGACUGUUUCUAUUUGGACUUUUUCUCCUUGAUCUGAGAGGAAUAACCCGACUGUCUGUCUAAGAAGCUGUGACUGUUUCUAUUUGGACUUUUUCUCCUUGAUCUGAGAGGAAUAACCCGACUGUCUGUCUGUCU
ensembl:lncRNA